ensembl:lncRNA
UAGUAACCCAAAGGCUCUUUUAAGAGCCACCCAACCUGUCAGUGAAAAAAGCAAAUCCAUAUAUGUGUGUGUGUGUGUGGAGGACAUGUCAAAAAGGGGGGAGAGGGAAUAAAUGAUGCUGACAUGAACAGGGUAGGAAUGUGUGCAUGGCAGUAUAACACAGUGAGUGGGAUUCCACUCGUGCUCCGAUGACUGGAGCCUGUGUAACAGUAUAACUUUAGGCCGAACCAGGGACCCUCUGCACACAUCAUCAACAACAGUCUCAGAGCAAGUGACGUCACCGAUUGAAACUAGCCGUUUCACAUCCCUUACACACACCUGUACAAGAGGGAGGAGGAGAGAGAAGAAGAGGCUCCAAAUCUCUCUCUCUAGGCCUAUAUCAGGGCGGACAAGCACAUGGGGCGCCAGCCUCCAUAGCGCCGGCCGCACAGCCAGACACCAAGACCCACAGACACAAAGACCGGCACGAGUGAGUCACGCUGCGGAGUCAAGCGAGGAAGGACUGCGAUCUCUCUCUCUCUGCCUGCUCAGAGACAAGGUCAGACAACGUACACGGACCACUCCUGAGAUUUUCUGACUAAGCUACUCAUCAUCUAUAUCCAACGAAACUCAAGCUUUAACUCCUUUGCCUGUUCCAAAGAUCAAUAAAUGUUACUUGUGACAUGGACAAUUUUGCCAGAUCCAGUGCACGCUUCUUCUGUUCUUCAUCAAUAUAUUUAACCAAAAUAACGCCUCUUCUAGUUUCCCGCUGCUUUCUUCAAGUCCUCGAUAUUACAAAUGGAUUUCCCAAAUUGAUCUCCUUGACAAAAAACACAGCCCAAGAAGAAAUGCAUUAUUCGGACUAGUCCGUGUCUUCUACUACAACUUUCGCUUGUUUUGUUCCGUUCUUUGAUUUCACUAUGUUACAUUCAUUAUCACACACUUCACUUGCCACACUUUCGGAUUCAAACACCGUUGCCGUUUCCUCCUCAAAGUCGUAAAUUGUGACUGGAUGAAUGUGUGGUCAAAAUGUAUAUUGUUGCUCAAAUGUUUUACAGAUCGUAUCAUAAAAGUAGCCAUAAAACAUACGUGGCAGAUUUUGAGACACAACAUACUAGGCAGAUUUUUUGUGGUCGCUUGUCCCAGAAAACCCCUAACUAGUCGCUAAUGUUUAUGUUUAAGAUUAGAUAUCAGAUGUAAGAUUACAGCUCGUGUUCACUAGCACGCGGUAAAUUGCUGUGUGCCGCUUAGGCCGCCCGGGGUGGCUUGCUAUUUUAUUUAUUUUACCUUUAUUUAAUCAGGUAGGCCAGUUGAGAACAAGUUCUCAUUUACAACUGUGACCUGGCUAAGAUAAAGCAAGGCAGUGUGACAAAAACAACAGAGUUACACAUGGGAUAAACAAACGUACAGUCAAUAACACAAUAGAAAAAUCUGUAUACAGUGUGUGCAAAUAUAGUAAGGAGGUAAGGCUAUAAAUAGGCCAAUAGUGGCAAAGUAAUUAUAAUUUAGCAAUUUAUACUGGAGUAAUAUAUGUACAGAUGAGGAUGGGCAAGUAGAAGUACCGAUGUGCAAAAGAGCAGAAAAACCUAAACAAAUAUGGCGAUGAGGUAGGUAGUAGGUUAUCCAGGCUAUCCGGGCUAAAGCGUCUGGUGUCUGAGCUAAAGGUAAAGACCGCUAGCAGUGGCUAACAAUAACUAAAUAGCAAGUAGCUAAUUAGCUGGCCAGCUGUUGAUGUAGAUUCCAAUUAUAAGGUCUAAAAAAAUAGAAUAUCCGUGAGGCGGGUUGCAGGAAGGAAUAUUUAAUUCGAACAUGGAAAAAAUUAAUUUAAAUAUAAUGAAAUGUAUACUUAAAAAAUGAUAGACAAUAUUUACAUGGGACAAAAACAAACACGUCUUACUGCUGCACCAUCUUGGUGUAUUUAUACAGUGGGGCAAAAAAGUACACUGCUCAAAAAAAUAAAGGGAACACUUAAACAACACAAUGUAACUCCAAGUCAAUCACACUUCUGUGAAAUCAAACUGUCCACUUAGGAAGCAACACUGAUUGACCAUAAAUGUCACAUGCUGUUGUGCAAAUGGAAUAGGCAACAGGUGGAAAUUAUAGGCAAUUAGCAAGACACCCCCAAUAAAGGAGUGGUUCUGCAGGUGGGGACCACAGACCACUUCUCAGUUCCUAUGCUUCCUGGCUGAUGUUCUGGUCACUUUUGAAUGCUGGCGGU